rnacentral:rRNA from 1 species
UACGAAGGGGGCUAGCGUUGUUCGGAUUUACUGGGCGUAAAGCGCACGUAGGCGGUUUGUUAAGUCAGGGGUGAAAUCCCGGAGCUCAACUCCGGAACUGCCUUUGAUACUGGCAAGCUAGAGUCCGGAAGAGGUAAGUGGAACUCCUAGUGUAGAGGUGGAAUUCGUAGAUAUUAGGAAGAACACCAGUGGCGAAGGCGGCUCACUGGUCCGGUACUGACGCUGAGGUGCGAAGCGUGGGGAGCAAACAGG